rnacentral:rRNA from 1 species
UACAGAGGUCUCAAGCGUUGUUCGGAUUCAUUGGGCGGUAAAGGGUGCGUAGGCGGCGCGGUAAGUCGGGUGUGAAAUCUCGGAGCUUAACUCCGAAACUGCAUUCGAUACUGCCGGUGCUUGAGGACUGGAGAGGAGACUGGAAUUUACGGUGAGCGGUGAAAUGCGUAGAGAUCAUGAGGAAGACCAGUGGCGAAGGCGGGUCUCUGGACAGUUCCUGACACUGGAGAACACG